ACCUGCGGAAGGAUCAUUGUCGUGACCCUAACCAAAACAGACCGUGAACAUGUUACCCAUGCCGCCGGGCGAUGGGUGUCGCACCCAUCUCUCGGAACAGGGUGCCGACCUUCGUUAGAGGGGAGGGGCCCUAAAUGAACCCACGGCGCCGUAUGGCGUCAAGGAACACAGAUAUUGCCUUGCGUGGGGUGUGGACUGGCAUGCCAGUCGGACCCCCGUGCAGCGAUCAUAUGUUAUUUCACAUGACUCUCGGCAACGGAUAUCUCGGCUCUCGCAUCGAUGAAGAACGUAGCAAAAUGCGAUACCUGGUGUGAAUUGCAGAAUCCCGUGAACCAUCGAGUUUUUGAACGCAAGUUGCGCCCGAGACCUUCUGGUCGAGGGCACGUCUGCCUGGGCGUCAUGCCAAAAGACACUCCCCACCCAUCAAGCUGAGGUGGAGGAAGUGGUAUUUGGCUCUCCGUGCAUCUAGGUGCGGUGGGCCUAAGUUGGGGCUGCCGGCGGUGCCGAUCACAGCACAAGGUGGAUGACGCAAGUUAUUCUCGUGCUAUGAUUCGGACUGUUUUCGGUGACGCUAUGGCCCUUUGCACCCAUGUACCAAAGCGCACAACGCUUGGACCACGACCCCAGGUCAGUCGGGACUACCCGCCGAAUUUAAGCAUAUCAAUAAGCGG
rnacentral:rRNA from 1 species